rnacentral:rRNA from 1 species
GAUGAACGCUGGCGGCGUGCCUAAUACAUGCAAGUCGAGCGAACGGACGAGAAGCUUGCUUCUCUGAUGUUAGCGGCGGACGGGUGAGUAACACGUGGAUAACCUACCUAUAAGACUGGGAUAACUUCGGAAAACCGGAGCUAAUACCGGAUAAUAUUUUGAACCGCAUGGUUCAAAAGUGAAAGACGGUCUUGCUGUCACUUAUAGAUGGAUCCGCGCUGCAUUAGCUAGUUGGUAAGGUAACGGCUUACCAAGGCAACGAUGCAUAGCCGACCUGAGAGGGUGAUCGGCCACACUGGAACUGAGACACGGUCCAGACUCCUACGGGAGGCAGCAGUAGGGAAUCUUCCGCAAUGGGCGAAAGUCUGACGGAGCAACGCCGCGUGAGUGAUGAAGGUCUUCGGAUCGUAAAACUCUGUUAUUAGGGAAGAACAUAUGUGUAAGUAACUGUGCACAUCUUGACGGUACCUAAUCAGAAAGCCACGGCUAACUACGUG